rnacentral:rRNA from 1 species
GACAGAGGAUGCAAGCGUUAUCCGGAAUUAUUGGGCGUAAAGAGCUCGUAGGCGGUUUGUCGCGUCUGCUGUGAAAACUGGGGGCUCAACUCCCAGCCUGCAGUGGGUACGGGCAGACUAGAGUGCGGUAGGGGAGAUUGGAAUUCCUGGUGUAGCGGUGGAAUGCGCAGAUAUCAGGAGGAACACCGAUGGCGAAGGCAGAUCUCUGGGCCGUAACUGACGCUGAGGAGCGAAAGCAUGGGGAGCGAACAGG